rnacentral:lncRNA from 12 species
CGGCGCGCAAGCGCAUUUGUGAUUACGGUACUUCUAAUGCCCAUUGGGAAAUACGGUACUUUUGCGCAUGCGCGUUUAGAAGCAGCGUAGUUCUCUAUGUGCUGUUGGAAUUACGGUAAUUGUGGUGCGCAUGCACUCUGGGAGAUACGGAGGGGCGCGAUACACACUUGGAAAUACGGUAGUCAUGGCACGCAGGCGCGUUUGGAAACGGCAGUCGUGAUGCGCACACGGCUGCGAGAGCUUCCUCACGUCCGACCCGUGGUUUUUUGGGGAGCAGAAGGACCCAAAACCCGUCAGGUUUUCUCCUCUGAGCUCCUUUGGGAUGUGCGUGGAGGGGGAUGGAGGCUGGGAAAGGCCUGUUGCAAAUCCAACCUUAAGGAAUGA